rnacentral:rRNA from 1 species
CCUACGGGGGGCAGCAGUGGGGAAUAUUGGGCAAUGGGCGCAAGCCUGACCCAGCAACGCCGCGUGAAUGAUGAAGGCUUUCGGGUUGUAAACUUCUUUUCUCAGGGACGAAGAAAGUGACGGUACCUUAGUAAUAAGCCACGGCUAACUACGUGCCAGCAGCCGCGGUAAUACGUAGGUGGCAAGCGUUAUCCGGAUUUAUUGGGUGUAAAGGGUGCGUAGGCGGGAUCGCAAGUAUGAUGUGAAAUUUCAGGGCGUAACCCUGGCCCUGCUUUGGAAACUGUUUUUCUUGAGUGCUGGAGAGGCAAACGGAAUUCCGUGUGUAGCGGUGAAAUGCGUAGAUAUGAGGAGGAACACCAGUGGCGAAGGCGAGUUGCUGGACAGUAACUGACGCUGAGGCGCGAAAGCGUGGGGAGCAAACAGGAUUAGAUACCCCAGUAGUC